AUGCACGCUGGCGGCGUGCCUAAUCCAUGCAAGUCGCGCGAACGGACGAGAAGCUUGCUUCUCUGAUGUUAGCGGCGGACGGGGGAGUAACACGUGGAUAACCUACCUAUAAGACUGGGAUAACUUCGGGAAACCGGAGCUAAUACCGGAUGAUAUUUUGAACCGCAUGGUUCAAAAGUGAAAGACGGUCUUGCUGUCACUUAUAGAUGGAUCCGCGCUGCAUUAGCUAGUUGGUAAGGUAACGGCUUACCAAGGCAACGAUGCAUAGCCGACCUGAGAGGGUGAUCGGCCACACUGGAACUGAGACACGGUCCAGACUCCUACGGGAGGCAGCAGUAGGGAAUCUUCCGCAAUGGGCGAAAGCCUGACGGAGCAACGCCGCGUGAGUGAUGAAGGUCUUCGGAUCGUAAAACUCUGUUAUUAGGGAAGAACAUAUGUGUAAGUAACUGUGCACAUCUUGACGGUACCUAAUCAGAAAGCCACGGCUAACUACGUG
rnacentral:rRNA from 1 species